CUACGUGCCAGCAGCCGCGGUAAUACGGAAGGUCCAGGCGUUAUCCGGAUUUAUUGGGUUUAAAGGGAGCGUAGGCUGGAGAUUAAGUGUGUUGUGAAAUGUAGACGCUCAACGUCUGAAUUGCAGCGCAUACUGGUUUCCUUGAGUACGCACAACGUUGGCGGAAUUCGUCGUGUAGCGGUGAAAUGCUUAGAUAUGACGAAGAACUCCGAUUGCGAAGGCAGCUGACGGGAGCGCAACUGACGCUUAAGCUCGAAGGUGCGGGUAUCAAACAGGAUUAGAUACCCUGGUAGUCCGCACAGUAAACGAUGGAUGCCCGCUGUUGGUACCUGGUAUCAGCGGCUAAGCGAAAGCAUUAAGCAUCCCACCUGGGGAGUACGCCGGUAACGGUGAAACUCAAAGGAAUUGACGGGGGCCCGCACAAGCGGAGGAACAUGUGGUUUAAUUCGAUGAUACGCGAGGAACCUUACCCGGGCUUGAA
rnacentral:rRNA from 1 species